AAAUGGGAAGCAGAAGAAGAAGAAUUACAUAAUAUCCGUGAUGCGUUCUGCGUCACAACCUUCUACUGUCCUUCUGCAAAAUGGUUCCUCCAGUGCAAGUCUCACCACUCAUUAAGACAGCGAGGUGGUCAGCCUUGCUGGUUGGGAUCAUCUACGGGAAAAGGAGAUAUGACCACCUUAAGCCCAUCGCUGAGGAGGAGAGGAGGGUAGAGGAGGCGGAGAAGAAGGUGAGAGAGGAACAGGAGCGCAUCGCCAAGGAGCUGGCAGAAGCCAAUGAAGACACCAUCCUGAAAUAAAUCACCACUGGAUCAAUAAUUUAUAUUUCAAUAAAUAUGUAUCCUCUUUCUGCUUUCUCAGUUUUCUCCAUGUAUAUUCAUAUUGUCCAAUAUUAUGUUCUUCAUUUUUCCCGCCUCUGUCACAUUGAAAGAGGGUGUGUCUGAUUAAAAGGGUGUGAUCAUCCGAGGUUAAAGAAA